rnacentral:snRNA from 1 species
AUCGCUUCUCGGCCUAAUGGCUAAGAUCAAGUGUAGUAUCUGUUCUUAUCAGUUUAAUAUCUGGUACGCCGGCACAGUCCGGCUCAUAUAUUAUUCUGAUUUUUGGCAUUAGGUCAUGGGAUCAUAGGUUUACCUUGCCCUGACCACGGGUUGCCUCGGCUUUGCACUACUGCUGAGCGCGGCCCAGAAUGA